CCUACGGGAGGCAGCAGUGGGGAAUAUUGGACAAUGGGGGGAACCCUGAUCCAGCGACGCCGCGUGAGUGAAGAAGUAUUUCGGUAUUUAAAGCUCUAUCUGCAGGGGAGUAAAUGACGGUACCUGACUCAGAAGCCCCGGCUAACUACGUGCCAGCAGCCGCGGUAAUACGUAGGGGGCAAGCGUUAUCCGGAUUUACUGGGUGUAAAGGGAGCGUAGACGGUGCAGCAAGUCUGAUGUGAAAGGUCCGGGCCAAACCCCGGGUCUGCAGUGGCAACUGUUGAGCUGGAGUACAGGCGAGGUAAGCGGAAUUCCUAGUGUAGCGGUGAAAUGCGUAGAUAUUAGGAAGAACACCGGUGGCGAAGGCGGCUUACUGGAGUGGAACUGACGUUGAGGCUCGAAAGCGUGGGGAGCAAACAGGAUUAGAUACCCCAGUAGUC
rnacentral:rRNA from 1 species